CUAUUUUUUUUUUUUAAUUAUUUUAAUUAGCAAGGUAUGAGGAAUUUGAUAAUGGAGUUUUUUGUUGAACCAAAAAAAUGGGAGCUUUGGAUGAAGAAGAAACCAGUUUGAGAGCUCAAACCGACUUGAUAUUAGGGUUAGUUGUCAUCAUUAAUGAGAGGAAAUGUGGAUUGUACUAUAUAAGAAAGUCAGAAUGUUUGAUCAAUAAAAAGAAGGAAGACAAGGUCACAAAGGAAGUGGAAAAAAAAAUCCAUUUUGGCGUUUAGAAUUUACUUCAAAAUGUGAUAUAUAUCAGAAUAUUAAUGGCAUUGAUGAUUGAGGUCUUGGUUGUCGAACCAGAAAUGGUGGUUUGCGUAUUUUAUACGAUAAAGAGGCCUGGAUUUGAGCUAUGACUAGAUUGGGAAAAGAGAAAGAAAGUUAGAUCACUCACUGUUCAUAUUCAUUCUCUCACUGCCUUGGUUUUGCAGUGGAUCUGUCAUUGUAGUAAUCAGAUAACAGAAAAAUAGUGUUCAUGUAUGAAAUGCUUGAGAAAGAGCUACCUUUUGGUUCAAUGUGUCGAUGAAGUUAACGGACAGUGGGGAGAUGCAGAUGAAUUCUUCAAUGAGGUAUGGAUGCAUUCCUAAGAACAAGAGCUUUAAUGCAGACGUCUCGAUCUAUUGGAAGGGAUACUAUGAACUUGAAUAUAAUAAUCAUAAGGCAUGCAACUUUUAUAUUAAGGCCAUUUCUUUGAGAAGGACUUGACGAAGGGAACAUAUUAAGGGCAUCCGAAGUUUAUAAAUCUUGAAGGAAAAUGUUUACGUAAAGUAUAGAAAAGCCAGUAAAUGAAUUUGCAUUCGAAGAUGAUUGUUAUGACAAAAAGAUAUAAAAAGAACUUAGUUUCCACUCCAACUCCGUGUGAGUUGCUAUGAAAUGGAAUGAUGAAACUCACACGGUUCAAACUUUUGUUGCACUCAUAGUUGCACCAUGUUCUAUUCCACUUCUAGUCUCUUUGUAAAUCGAAGACAAUUGCUUAAAAAAUGAAGUUCUAGCAAAUGAAGUAUUCCAUACUUUUCCAAUCAA